rnacentral:rRNA from 1 species
CCCUUAGAUGUUCUGGGCCGCACGCGCGCUACAAUGAUGAAUUCAACGAGUUUAUAACCUUGGUUGAAAAGCCUGGGUAAUCUUUUGAACUUUCGUCGUGAUGGGGCUAGACCCUUGCAAUUAUUGGUCUCCAACGAGGAAUUCCUAGUAAACGCAAGUCAUCAGCUUGCAUUGAUUACGUCCCUGCCCUUUGUACACACCGCCCGUCGCACCUACCGAUUGAAUGGUCCGGUGAAAUCUUCGGAUUGAGACUUUGAUUUCUUCACGGAAAACGCUGUUUUACAAAGUUGAUUAAACCUUACCAUUUAGAGGAAGGUGAAGUCGUAACA